GACGUAGGGUGCGAGCGUUGUCCGGAUUUAUUGGGCGUAAAGAGCUCGUAGGCGGCUCGUCGCGUCGACCGUGAAAACCCGCAGCUUAACUGCGGGCUUGCGGUUGAUACGGGCGGGCUAGAGUUCGGUAGGGGAGACUGGAAUUCCUGGUGUAGCGGUGAAAUGCGCAGAUAUCAGGAGGAACACCGGUGGCGAAGGCGGUUCUCUGGGAAUGUUCUGACGCUGAGGAGCGAAAGUGUGGGGAGCGAACAGG
rnacentral:rRNA from 1 species